rnacentral:rRNA from 1 species
UACGUAGGGUCCGAGCGUUGUCCGGAAUUACUGGGCGUAAAGAGCUCGUAGGUGGUUUGUCGCGUUGUUCGUGAAAACUCACAGCUUAACUGUGGGCGUGCGGGCGAUACGGGCAGACUUGAGUACUGCAGGGGAGACUGGAAUUCCUGGUGUAGCGGUGGAAUGCGCAGAUAUCAGGAGGAACACCCGUGGCUAAGGCGGCUCUCUAGUACGGUACUGACGCUGAGACGCGAAAGCGUGGGGAGCGAACAGG